rnacentral:rRNA from 1 species
AAUCAACGCUGGCGGCGUGCUUAACACAUGCAAGUCGAACGAUGAACCUCACUUGUGGGGGGAUUAGUGGCGAACGGGUGAGUAACACGUGAGUAACCUGCCCUUAACUCUGGGAUAAGCCUGGGAAACUGGGUCUAAUACCGGAUAUGACUCCUCAUCGCAUGGUGGGGGGUGGAAAGCUUUUUGUGGUUUUGGAUGGACUCGCGGCCUAUCAGCUUGUUGGUGAGGUAAUGGCUCACCAAGGCGACGACGGGUAGCCGGCCUGAGAGGGUGACCGGCCACACUGGGACUGAGACACGGCCCAGACUCCUACGGGAGGCAGCAGUGGGGAAUAUUGCACAAUGGGCGCAAGCCUGAUGCAGCGACGCCGCGUGAGGGAUGACGGCCUUCGGGUUGUAAACCUCUUUCAGUAGGGAAGAAGCGAAAGUGACGGUACCUGCAGAAGAACG